GAUGAACGCUGGCGGCGUGCCUAAUACAUGCAAGUCGAGCGAACAGACGAGGAGCUUGCUCCUCUGACGUUAGCGGCGGACGGGUGAGUAACACGUGGAUAACCUACCUAUAAGACUGGGAUAACUUCGGGAAACCGGAGCUAAUACCGGAUAAUAUAUUGAACCGCAUGGUUCAAUAGUGAAAGACGGUUUUGCUGUCACUUAUAGAUGGAUCCGCGCCGCAUUAGCUAGUUGGUAAGGUAACGGCUUACCAAGGCGACGAUGCGUAGCCGACCUGAGAGGGUGAUCGGCCACACUGGAACUGAGACACGGUCCAGACUCCUACGGGAGGCAGCAGUAGGGAAUCUUCCGCAAUGGGCGAAAGCUUGACGGAGCAACGCCGCGUGAGUGAUGAAGGUCUUCGGAUCGUAAAACUCUGUUAUUAGGGAAGAACAAAUGUGUAAGUAACUAUGCACGUCUUGACGGUACCUAAUCAGAAAGCCACGGCUAACUAUGUG
rnacentral:rRNA from 1 species